rnacentral:lncRNA from 1 species
UCGUCUUCCUUAUCCGAAGGUUGCUUAUUUGGCUAUUUGUUGAGGGCGAUCAAUCCUCCAUCAUUCCAGAGGCAUUAGUUUAUUCUGCUUCCUAUUUGAUAACAUUAUGGAGAAUGAUCAGCUAUUAGCAUGCUGCUUAAGCCGUCGGGGGGCAGUACGAUUUUCAUAAGUAAUUGUGGUCCUUUGCCAUCUGUUUCGAGAAAAACGCCACAAUAUAUCAUCAAUUUGAAAACCUCUACACCCCAUGCACCUU